ACCCUAGUAGUAUGUCGUGUAUAUAAGCAAGUGAUAAAACUCAUAGAUCACUUACUUUAUUAUGAAUGGAAAUCUCAUAACUCUAGAUUGGCGUAGAACUCAUAAACGACUUUUUUUUUUUUUUUGACAAAAGAAAAAAAAGUUGUAUAUGAGUCUAUGCUAAUUUUGAAAUAUGGAGACUCCUCAAAAUGGUUUGAAUUCGCAAGUGUUCAUUCGGGGGAAAAGCAGUGGAUUCUCUAGCGGUGCAUCCAUGUACAGAGGUGUCACUAGACAUCGUCAGCAUGGUCGAUGGCAGGCACGAAUUGGAAGGGUUGCAGGCAACAAAGACCUUUAUCUUGGCACAUUUAGUGAUCUUACUAAUCAAAGAUUUCACCACAAAUUUAUCAAUAGAUAAAAUCGAAAUUAAAUGUAUUUUUUUUUCUUAUGCAUUAAUAUUUUGUUUUUAG